GUGCUGGCUUCGGCAGGACCUAUAAUAAAAUUGGGAUGAUACACUGAAGGCUGGCGUGGCCCCGCGCAAUGAUGACACGCAAAGGUGUGCAGCGUUUCGCAUUUUU
ensembl:snRNA U6 U6 spliceosomal RNA